rnacentral:rRNA from 1 species
AAUUUGCAGAGGAUGCUUUUGGUGCGGUGCCUUCCAAGUUCCCUAGAACGGGACGCCAGAGAGGGUGAGAGCCCCGUACAGUUGGACACCAAGCCUUUGUAAAGCUCCUUCGACGAGUCGAGUAUUUGGGAAUGCUGCUCAAAAUGGGAGGUAUAUUUCUUCUAAAGGUAAUUACCGGCCAGAGACCGAUAGCGUACAAGUAGAGCGAUCGAAAGAUGAAAAGCACUUUGAAAAGAGGGUUAAACAGCCCGUGAAAUUGUUAAAAGGGAAGUGCUUGUGACCAGACUUGCGNUCGGCGAAUCACCCAGGUCUCGCGGNUGGGGGACUUCNCCGGCUCAGGGCA